ACAUUUGUUUUUACACUUGCAUAUCUUAAUUGGUUAUUUGACUGAUUUGUGAUGAAUUCUAAUUGUUUAAUCUAGAAAUUAAUUGAGCACAAAAGCUCCUGGUGGUGUCAGACAAUAGUUCCAUACAUAAAUUAAUUUUUGCAUGUCAGAUUCUUUUGUUUAUACCUACAUGAUUGGGUUUGAUGGUUUUCUCUUUAUGGUGACUCCAAGUACACAAAAGCUCUUGGCGGUGACUCCAAGCACACAAUUGCAAAAUUGUAGAACUGGACUAGCUCAAAUAUUUUGGACACUGAAUGUUUUCUACUACAGAAAAUUCAGACAAUUAAGCAUCACGAGCUUACUGCUCGAGCAUAGCCAUGGAUUGCGUCUUCAUCUGUGGCUACGCGUUUGUGGCAUGGCUGAACGCCCACUCCUCCACUAAAGAAGCAGGCAAGCAAUGGUUACUUGUUAUUUUUUUGCAGCUUUGUUUUUAGCUUUUAUUAUCUUUUAUUGAACAGUUAUGUGUAUCAAGAUAGCCUCUAAUUAGAUAGUAAGACAUGUCAGCCUAUUUGAGUUGACUAAGGAUGGCACACCUAAGCAUGUUUAUUCUGUACCUGUCUUUUUUUGUUCAUUCACAUGUUAUAACAUCUCACUCAAUGCAGUUUUAACAUCUGUUAAUAUGUUAAUAUUUUAUCUGCUAAUUCUUUUACGUAAACUCACUGGUUCGCCUAGGUGUUAUGGCUGAAUGUACUUCUUGUAUUGAAGCUGAUAAAUCUCUAUAUAUCAUGUAUGGUUAUCGAUUACUAAUCUUAUAAAACAAGGUUAUUUUGAGAGACACUGUUAUUUAAUGCAAACAACAAAGCUAACAAGGUGGUAACCCAUAAAUUAUGUGCUGAGAACAAAGAUAAACGUAACCUAGAGUAUGGAGAGCAUUAUGCAUUGUCUAGGACGUAUAAAGGGAAGUGAAUGGUGUGUAUUUUAGUUUUUUUACACUGAAUAGAAAUUGGUACCCUAGGUUAAGUUUAUGGGGGCUGGGGCUGGAUCCUGGUUAUAUGGAAGGAUCUGAGCCUGGGCAAAUUGCGCUGAUUAUUAGGCAGGCAUGUGAAUUUCCUGAACUUGAAUGCUUCAAUCCUACUGGCCAGCCAUAUAUGACAGUUUUGUUAGUAGUUUCUUUACCAUUUCCGUGGCAUACAUAUGUUACUUCUUUCUUCUAAAAACAGUUACUUCUUUAACUCUUUGGUGUUCUUUGGUUAACUAAUAUUUUCCCUCAAAAAAUAGUUAUACUGGUGUUCUUUCCACGUUGGUUUAUCUACACCUCUAUGCUGUUCUUAUAUAUGCAUUAUUCGUAAAAUAAAAUGGACAAUGGGAAAGCCUAGAAUUGAAGGAUUCCUCUAUUGAUAGUUCUGAUGAAUGUCUUAGUUUGUCUUAGAGGAAGUCAGACAAUAAUCUGAGAGGAUCACCAAUUGUUGUCCAUCCUGGAAAGUGUAAUCCUGUAAAUUUUGCAUUAUGGAAAAUGCUUAUGCUUUGCCUGCGAACUUUGGCAUAAUUUUAAAUAUAUAACAAGCAUAAUUCUUAUCCUUCUCAAUCGUUUGUUCAGCCGGUGAAGCAGAGCAGCUAUUACUCUAUAUUGUAAAUUGGGAUAACCGCCUCAUUGCCUGUGAACUUUGGCACAAUUUUAAAUAUAUAACGAGCAUAAUUAUUAAACUUUCCAAUCAUUUGUUCAGCCGGUGAAACAGAGCAGCUAUUACUCUAUACUGUAAAUGGGGCUAGCAGCCUCAGUUGUAAGGGCAUCUCUGCAAGCCCUAUUUUACAACGCUGGAUCUAGGCUAGAAGCAAUCCAUACAAUUCAUUUGGACUGGUUUCACAAUAAGGCCAAUAGAAAGUCUACUUGGCUACUUGCAAAGGAGGAAAACAAAGACCUUUCAAAGGAUGCCGUUGGGCUAGACAUAUAACUGUAUUGAGAGAAUUAACAUAUAACUGUACAAAGAGAAUUAUUUCCUAACCAUUGCCAUGGUGGCGACUUUUCAGCUCUACUAUUUUCCUUCAUGUAUUAUUUUAAUUUAUUUUGUUUUGAUUUGACCAGUGGGAAGUACAACAAUGCAAUAUUAUGUACACGGAGAAAGAGCAUCCGUCCUUGAUGGCAAAGCACUCCUGGUAUGUGCUUUAUUUUUACCAUUGUUCUGUUAAUAAUAGAACUCUAGAGUUUAUCUCAAUUUAAAAUUAUCCAGCCUAGCUAGGGCCUCAAGUAACAACCUUUAGGCAGUUCGGUAUUAACUAGAUAUAUGAUUUUCACUUUUUUGUUUGUUUGUUAGGAUUAACAGGUCUAUGUUUUAUAGCAAUAGGAACAUGAUUAGUUAAGGAUAAAGUAUCCUAGGAAUUGUACAGGCUGAAUUUGUAUUGCAGGUUGGAUCUGAAAAAAUAGUUCCUUUAAGAGGGUUGUAAUUGUUUCUGCAUCCUCAUUAUGCUUCAUGUCCUUCGUGUGAAAAAGAUACGGUGCCUGGCUUGCAUCAUCAUUUUUCUCAGAGCUACAACUACUUAGCAUUUACGUAGAUAAGCAGGGUUGUACAAUCGUUUGUUUAGCUUUAACUGAACCCGGAUAUUCUUGCUUUUGCAGUUUACGUAUUCCCUAUCUUUCAUUAAGGUGUUUUGAAUCAAUAAAAACAGUGGACCCUAUGUCCUUUGUCCUCCUUGAUGCCAAGCCCCAGUGGUGUAUUGGUUGUCUAAGAUUUCUAUAUGGUUAUUUUUAUGUUCAUAGGUAGGCUCACACGUCCCCUUUUUAUUUCUACUUUACCCUUGGGAUUAUCUGCUCACAGGUCCCCUCUUUAUUUCUACUUUACCCUUGCGAUUAUCUACAAGGACUAAGAAGUGAUGAUUUCUUGCCUUAUGACUAAUGAUAUGUAUCUAGGGUGCAGUUCAAGUGUCGGAAAGCUGAGGUGAGGUCUAAAUUAUUCAUACCUCUAUAUUUAUAGCUACUUGUUUAUUAUUCAUGAUCAUUAAAUUAAAUAGACCAACUUUUCUUUUAUUAAAUGUUAAGCAAGGUCCUAGAAAUGCGAUUUUGUAAUCAGGCUGUGAAGAAACUGAAAUGUGCUGCCUGAUGUUCUUUUUGUUCUUUGAUGCAAUAUAUAUGCUACUAGCUGUUAUGUCAAGUUAGCCACAUCUAAGUGAUGUAUAUGUCAGUGUUUCUCUGAAUCAUAUAAUACGUAGGUAGUUUUCUUUAGUCUUAUUUGUGCUUUGCACCUUUGUAAGUAUAUUGUACACUAAAUGAAUUUUUUUCUGUAUUCAGAUUUCCUAUUCUGCACUGCAGUGAGUAUAGACUAAUUCUGCUUACGUAUAAACUAUUUAGAAAACUGAUUCUUCUACUUUUGACACUAUAUUGCCUAAUCGUCUAAUCUGCAUUGCAGGUACAAGGUUGAGCCGAGAGAAUUUGAUUCAAUUAUACUUGCAGAUGUUUGACUGUAGAUAUUUAAUUUUCUACCACCUACAACAGUCAAUGAAGUGCAGAGAUGCUUUUGCGAAUUAGACUCAACUACUGCUAUAUCAUGUUAGGCUCUGUGUUGUCAGUUUGUCACUCUGUAUUGUUGCAAUCAAUGUCUUAAAUGGCACCCUAAGUCUUGCGCACCUUUAUGUUACAUCGGAUGGCUGUGACCGGCUCACUUAGUAAUAAGCCAUGACAUCUAUGUGCUAAAUUUCUGCUUUCAUUUUGUGAUUUUGAUUUAGUUAUAUGAGCGCAUAUAGAAAAUCUCAAUGGAUUGAUUGCCUGAUUCAGAAGAAAUUAACUGUUUGACUUAGUUAUAUGAGAGCAUACAGAAAAUCUCAAUGGA